UACGGAGGGGGCUAGCGUUGUUCGGAAUUACUGGGCGUAAAGCGCGCGUAGGCGGACCUGCAAGUCGGGGGUGAAAGCCCGAGGCUCAACCUCGGAACUGCCUUCGAUACUGCGGGUCUCGAGUCCGGGAGAGGUGAGUGGAAUUCCUAGUGUAGAGGUGAAAUUCGUAGAUAUUCGCAAGAACACCAGUGGCGAAGGCGGCUCACUGGCCCGGUACUGACGCUGAGGUGCAAAAGCGUGGGGAGCAAACAGG
rnacentral:rRNA from 1 species